AGCGAACGCUGGCGGCAGGCCUAACACAUGCAAGUCGAACGGAUCCUUCGGGAUUAGUGGCGGACGGGUGAGUAACACGUGGGAACGUGCCUUUUGGUUCGGAACAACUCAGGGAAACUUGAGCUAAUACCGGGAUGUGCCCUUCGGGGGAAAGAUUUAUCGCCAUUAGAGCGGCCCGCGUCUGAUUAGCUUGUUGGUGAGGUAAAGGCUCACCAAGGCUACGAUCAGUAGCUGGUCNGAGAGGAUGAUCAGCCACACUGGGACUGAGACACGGCCCAGACUCCUACGGGAGGCAGCAGUGGGAAUCUUGCGCAAUGGGCGAAAGCCUGACGCAGCCAUGCCGCGUGAAUGAUGAAGGUCUUAGGAUUUGUAAAAUUCUUUCACCGGGGGACGAUAAUGACGGUACCCGGAGAAGAAGCCCCGGCUAACUUCGUGCCAGCCGCCGC
rnacentral:rRNA from 1 species